rnacentral:lncRNA from 1 species
UGAUGUACGGUCCUGACCAACGUGAUUUGAAUUUUCCUAGGAAUAAUUUCAAUCGGCUAUUGUACAAAAGAACUUGGUCUCCAACUUCAAAAUCCUUAUGGCGAAUGAGGUUAUCAUGCCAUCUUUUCGUCUUUUCUUUGUAUAAUUUAGCAUUUUUAUAUGCUUCAAGUCUAAAUUCCUCUAAUUCAUUUAGCUGAAGUAGAUGAUUUUUACCUGCAUCUGACAAAUUUAGAUUCAACAAUUUCAUAGCCCAAUAUGCUUUAUGUUCUAAUUCCACAGGUAAAUAACAAGCUUUUCCAAAAACUAAUCUAUAAAUGGAUGUGCCUAUUGGAGUUUUGAAAGCAGUUUGGUAUGUCCAUAAAGUAUCAUCUAACUUUAAAGACCAAUCUUUUCGAGAAGAUCCAACAUAUUUUUCUAAAAUUCUUUUCAAUUCUCUGUUGGAAACUUCUACUUGCCCGCUCGUUUGAGCAUGAUAUAAAGUUCUUAUUUUAUGAGUUACUCCAUAUUUUGAUAACAAAUUUGCAAAUUGUCUGUUUAUAAAAUGAGUUCCCCGAUCACUUAUGAUAACGCGUAGAGUUCCAAAUCGAGAAAAAAUAUUUUUCUUGAGAAAAGCACAAACAACAUGAGCAUUAUUUUUUCUAGUAGCUAUUGCUUCUACCCAUUUUGAAACAUAAUCAACUGCUACUAAAAUAUAUUCACAACCAUUUGAUGGAGGAAAAGAACCCAUGAAAUCAAUGCCCCAAACAUCAAAUAUUUCAUACACAAGAAUAGAGUUAAGAGGUAUCUCAUCCCUUUUUGGAAUGUUACCACUUCUUUGGCAUUUGUCACAAGUGGUAACAUAAUUUCUUGCAUCUUUGAACAGAGUUGGCCAGAAAAAACCCGCUUCAAGCACUUUUGUGGCUAUUUUUCUUCCUCCAUAGUGUCCUUCUAUAAAUCCAUCAUGACAAUGGUUUAGGAUGUUAUUUAUUUCUAUUUAUGGUACACAUCUCCGGAUCAUGCCAUCUGCACAAAAUUUAAAUAUGUAAGGAUCGUCCCAAAAAUAACAUCUAGUUUCUUUUUUGAGUUUUUUUCUUUGUUCAUAAGAUAAAUCUUUUGGGAUCCAUCCUCCAACUAAGUAGUUGGCAAUGUCAGCAAACCAAGGUGGCGGAUUUGUAACUGUGGUAAUUGUAUAAAUAUGCUCAUCAGAAAAUUCCUCCUUGAUAUAUGUUGCCUCAGUUGGAGGAUUUUCUAAUCGUGACAAAUGGUCAGCUACUUGAUUUUCUGAACCCUUCCUAUCUUUUAUUUCAAGAUCAAACUCUUGCAAAAUAAGUAUCCAUCUUAGCAAUCUAGUUCUGGCGUCUUUCUUUGCUAAGAGGUACUUUAAAGCAGCAUGGUCAGUAAAUACUCUAACCUUCAUUCCUAUCAAAUAGGAAUGAAAUUCGUCAAAUAUAAAUACAACUGCCAAUAGCUCCUUCUCAGUUGUGGCAUAAUUCUUUUGAGCUUCAUUGAGGGUUCUACUGGCGUAGUAAAUAGGUCUAAAUUUUUUGUCUCUCUUUUGUCCCAAUAUAGCUCCAACUGUUGUAUCACUUGCAUCACACAUUAUUUCAAAUGACUGGCUCCAAUCAGGAGAAACAACAAUUGGAGCAUUAGUCAAUUGUUCCUUGAGAAUCUCAAAUGCUUUCAUGCAAUCAUCUGAAAAUUCAAUCUUCACAUCUUUCAUCAGUAGGUUAGUCAGAGGUUUUGAAAUAUUUGAAAAAUCUUUUAUGAACCUUCUAUAAAAACAUGCAUGCCCUAAGAAACUUCUAAUACCUUCAACAUUGGUAGGAGGGGAUAAUCCUGCUAUAAGAUCAAUCUUGGUUUUAUCAACUUCUAUUCCUUUAGUAGUGAUUUUAUGUCCUAAAAUAAUUUCCUUUGUUACUAUAAAGUGGCAUUUUUCCCAGUUAAGAACUAAAUUUAUUUCUUUACAUCUUUUAAGCACCAAAGUUAAAUGAUAGAGGCAAUCUUCAAAUGUCUUUCCAAAAAAUAUAAAAUCAUCCAUGAAAAUUUCAAGAAACUUUUCAGUCAUGUCUAAGAAAAUUACCGACAUGCAACGCUGAAAUAUAGCAGGAGCGUUACAUAGUCCAAAUGACAUUCUACGGUAAGCAUGCGUACCUUGGGGGCAUGUGAAUGUGGUUUUCUCCUGAUCUUCUGGAGCAAUUGGUAUCUAAUUAUUCCCAGAAUAUCUAUCAAGAAAACAGUAAAAACCAUGACCUACAACUCUUUCAAGCAUUUGGUCAAUAAAAGGCAAAGAAAAAUGGCCUUUUCUUGUGGCCUCAUUAAGUCGUCUGUAAUCAAUACAAACUCUCCAUCUUGUGACUGUUCUAGUAGGUAUGAGUUCAUUAUUUUAAUUUUUUAUUACUGUCAUACCUCCUUUCUUUGGUACUACUUGUACAGGACUUACCCAAGGACUGUCAGAUAUUGGAUAAAUUAUACCUGCUGCUAGAAGUUUCACCACUUCUUUCUUGACGACUUCCUGCAUUGCUGGGUUCAGUCUCCUUUGGGGUUGGACUAUAGGAUUAUACUCAUUCUCCAUAAUAAUCAUGUGCAUACAAAUAGCUGGACUGAUUCCUUUUAUGCUAGGUAUAGUCCACCCUAAGGCUCUUUUGUGUUUUCUCAGGACUUCAAUCAGUUUGCCUUCCUGUUCUAUAGUCAAAGAAGAUGAAAUGAUUACUGAAAAUAAUUCAGGCUCAAGAAACACAUAUUUUAAAUAAGAAGGAAGAUCUUUGAGUUCAAUUUUUAAUUGAACUCCUUCUUAUGAGACUUUCUCAUUUUCUGACUCUUUUUCCAGUAUUUUAGCUUAUUCUCUAAUUAUGGGGUAAUCAUCACUUAUGGUACCUGACCUAGCCAAACAUCUUUCCAGUGAAUCAGUAAUUAACUAAUUAUCUUUGUAAUUCGUCUACAAGGUCAUAUAGUACAUCAAUUUGAAAACAAGAUGAUGAUGACUCAUCCCCAAGGAAUUUCAUCAUUUUCUGCAUGUCAAAAAUCACUCUUUCCUCAUCAACUCGCAAUAUUUAUUGUCCUUGAUGAACAUCAAUAAUUGGUCUCCCUAUUGCAAGAAAUGGUCUACCUAAAAUUAAUGGUACCUCAGUAUUUUCUUCCAUUUCAAGCACUAUAAAAUCUAUUGGGAAUACAAAUUUGUCAACUCUAACAAGGAUAUUUUCAAUAAUUCCUUUUGGUCUCUUAGUACUUUGAUCAGCUAAUUGAAGAGACACACCAGUAUCUUUCAUUUUACCAAGUUCUAGUUUCCUGAAAAUUGAAAAAGGCAUUAGAUUUAUUGAAGCACCUAAAUCACAUAACACUUUUUCAAAAUGAGCACCUCCCAUGGUACAAGGAAUUGUAAAACUUCCCGGAUCACCCAAUUUCUGUGGGAGCUUAUUUUUAAGUAUAGCACUACAUUUUUCUGUAAGCUUAACCACUGAAACAUCUUCCAAUUUUCUUUUACUUGAUAAAAUUUCUUUGAGAAAUUUAGCAUAUGAAGGCAUUUGCAUCAAAGCAUCUGUGAAAGGUAUGUUAAUGUAAAGUUGCUUCAAAAUAUCUAGAAAAUUUAAAAACUGUUUGUCAAGCUUUUCUCUUUUCAUCUUUUGGGGGAAAGGGAGAGGUACAGAGUGAGGAUUUGUUAUCAAUUCAUUUUCUAGUACAUUUUUCCCUUUAUUCUUUUAUUUUUUUGGAAACUUAGAUUCCAUUUUAUUCUCACCUUCAUUUACCUUUUCCACUUCUUGUGGCUUUUCUUCUCUAUCUGCGUAUAGAUCAUCAAGAGAUUUACCUGAUCGUAGAGAGAUGGAUUUAAGGUAUUCUUUUGGGUUUUUCUCUAUGUUGCUUGGUAGAGCACCUUGAGUUUGUCCAGACAUGAGGGUUGCUAAUUGGCUUACCUGAAUUUCCAAAUUCUUGAUAACUGAAUGUUGACUUUCAACCUUCUCGUCAAUAGCCUUAAUGAAUUUGUACAUCAGAUUUUCAAGGCUUUGUUGAUGAGCUCUUUGAGGCUGCUGCUGAUAUUGUUGAAAAUUUUGUUUCCCUCAAUUUUGAUUUUAAAAACAAGGAAGUUCAUGUACCUGCUGCUUUUAAUUAAAAAAUCUUUGAGGAUUUUCAGUACCAUUAGGAUCACUCCAUUGAAAUCCUGGAUGUUUUUGUGCCAUGGGACUACCGAAUGAGUGAUUAUUUCUAUAACCAAUCACAUUUACUUGUUCCUCAUUUUGCGUUGAAGCUUGACAUUCAUGAUUCGGAUGAUUACCUUUACAAAAAUCACAAUUCUCAAGUUGGGAUGAUGAUAGAGCACCUGCCUGAAAAGCUUUGACUUUUUGUGUUAAGGUCGCAAUUUGUUGUGCUAAUGAAUUCAAAGCUUCAAUUUGAUUUACUCCUGCCGUUUUCUUGAUAAUCAUUCUGUUUGAGGGCCAUUGAACAACAUUUUUCGAAAUUUCAUUAAGUAUUUGCAUUUCUUCUGCAGUGGUUUUUUUCAUUAUUGAUCCUCCUGAUGCUGCAUCAAUUACAUUUCUAGCAGAGGACUUAAGACAGUGAUAAAAAAUGUAUAAAAUGUCAGGGUCUUGGAUACCAUGAUGUGAGCAUUUUCUUAACAUUGCUGCUAAUCUUUCCCAUGUCUGAUAUACAGAUUCAGUAUUUGUCUGCAUAAAAUUAUUGAUUUCUUAUUUUAUUUUAAUAGUCUUUACAGGUGAAAAAUAUUUAUUAAGAAAUUUUUGGGUCAUUUGGUCCCAUGUUAUAAUAGAACCUCUUGGUAGGCUUCGCAACCAUGUUUUGGCUUCCCUUUUUAAAGAAAAAGGAAAAAGUCGUAACCUAAUAGCGUCUGUUGUAACACUAUUGUACCUGCAAGUUUUAACUAAUUCAAGAAAAUCAAUUAAAUGGGCAUGGGGAUCUUCACUUCCAUCACUAGUAAACUGACAUAACUGUUGGACAGUCUGAAUCAAGCCUGUGCGGAUUUCAAAGUUAUUUGCUGCUAUUGGUGGUCUCUUUACACUUGAUUCUCCAUCAAAAUGAUCUGGUCUUGCAUAAUCACGGAGUAUUCUAUCACGUCGUGGUACCACCUCAUCAAACUGUUCUUCUACUUGAUGUGGUGGAAGCUGAUUAUUGGGUUCUUCGUUCUCUAUUUCCUCUAAUGUAAAAAUUUGAGAUCGUGAGAUUUGUUCUUUUCGCAACAAUCGCAAGGAUUUUUUAAUUUCUGGAUCGUAUUCGACUAGUUCUCUAGAAGAGGAAUGAGUCAUACACUUUCUGAAAUUUCUGCAAAAAAGUUAAAAU